AUGUUGCUCAAUCCGCAGCUUCCCCAAGAUGUCAAGACCCGUACGUGGAUGCUCUUCACCUCAUCUCCACCUACCCUACGCGACACAAGUCUUGACUUGCCUGGGCCUGUCUGCCCCAGCCUCCCUCACUGCUCUUCACCAACACCCGCUGAUUCAGGGUCUCAACCCCAACAUCUGGCCAUCGCUGGCCUUGACAGUUUCUUGGAAACUUUGGGACUCGAGAAAUGCGCUCGUAUUCAGGAACGAAGACCACUCUCUCAGAACAACGCUAAAAAAUAUUGUAGCAGACUUCUCUCUCUGGGUUUUCCGGUUCAAAAAACAUGA
rnacentral:rRNA from 1 species